rnacentral:rRNA from 1 species
AAUAGAUACCCGGGUAGUCCACGCCGUAAACGGUGGGCACUAGGUGUGGGCGGCAUUCCACGUCGUCCGUGCCGUAGCUAACGCAUUAAGUGCCCCGCCUGGGGAGUACGGCCGCAAGGCUAAAACUCAAGGGAAUUGACGGGGGCCCGCACAAGCGGCGGAGCAUGUGGCUUAAUUCGACGCAACGCGAAGAACCUUACCAAGGCUUGACAUACACCGGAAACAUCCAGAGAUGGGUGCCCCCUUGUGGUCGGUGUACAGGUGGUGCAUGGCUGUCGUCAGCUCGUGUCGUGAGAUGUUGGGUUAAGUCCCGCAACGAGCGCAACCCUUGUCCCGUGUUGCCAGCAGGCCCUUGUGGUGCUGGGGACUCACGGGAGACCGCCGGGGUCAACUCGGAGGAAGGUGGGGACGACGUCAAGUCAUCAUGCCCCUUAUGUCUUGGGCUGCACACGUGCUACAAUGGCCGGUACAAAGAGCUGCGAUGCCGUGAGGCGGAGCGAAUCUCAAAAAGCCGGUCUCAGUUCGGAUUGGGGU